rnacentral:rRNA from 1 species
UACGUAGGGUGCAAGCGUUGUCCGGAAUUAUUGGGCGUAAAGAGCUCGUAGGCGGCUUGUCGCGUCGGCUGUGAAAACCUGGGGCUCAACCCCGGGCCUGCAGCCGAUACGGGCAAGCUAGAAUUCGGUAGGGGAGACUGGAAUUCCCGGUGUAGAGGUGAAAUUCGUAGAUAUCGGGAGGAACACCGGUGGCGAAGGCGGCGACCUGGGUAGAUACUGACGCUGAGGCGCGAAAGCGUGGGGAUCAAACAGGG